UACGUAGGGGGCAAGCGUUGUCCGGAUUUAUUGGGCGUAAAGAGCGUGUAGGCGGCCAGGUAGGUCUGCUGUGAAAUCCCUCGGCUUAACCGGGGAACUGCGUCUGAAACCGUAUGGCUAGAGUCCGGAAGAGGAGAGUGGAAUUCCCGGUGUAGCGGUGAAAUGCGCAGAUAUCGGGAAGAACACCCGUGGCGAAGGCGGCUCUCUGGGACGGUACUGACGCUGAGACGCGAAAGCGUGGGGAGCGAACAGG
rnacentral:rRNA from 1 species